GCCAGACUCCUACGGGAGGCAGCAGUGGGGGAUAUUGCACAAUGGGGGGAACCCUGAUGCAGCGACGCCGCGUGGGUGAAGGAGCGUUUCGGCGCGUAAAGCCCUAUCGGCAGGGAAGAAGGAGGACGGUACCUGACUAAGAAGCCCCGGCUAACUACGUGCCAGCAGCCGCGGUCAUACGUAGGAUCCGAGCAUUAUCCGGAGUGACUGGGUGUAAAGAGUUGCGUAGGUGGCAUAAUAAGUAGCUAGUGAAAUCUGGUGGCUCAACCAUUCAGACUAUUAGCUAAACUGUUAAGCUCGAGACCGUUAGGGGUAACUGGAAUUUCUAGUGUAGGAGUGAAAUCCGUAGAUAUUGGAAAGAACACCGAUAGCGUAGGCAGGUUACUGGGACGGUUCUGACACUAAGGCACGAAAGCGUAGGGAGCAAACGGGAUUAGAUACCCUGGUA
rnacentral:rRNA from 1 species